UACGUAGGGCGCAAGCGUUGUCCGGAAUUAUUGGGCGUAAAGAGCUCGUAGGCGGUUUGUCGCGUCUGCUGUGAAAACUCGAGGCUCAACCUCGGGCUUGCAGUGGGUACGGGCAGACUAGAGUGCGGUAGGGGGUGACUGGAAUUCCUGGUGUAGCGGUGGAAUGCGCAGAUAUCAGGAGGAACACCGAUGGCGAAGGCAGGUCACUGGGCCGCAACUGACGCUGAGGAGCGAAAAGCAUGGGGGAGCGAA
rnacentral:rRNA from 1 species